rnacentral:rRNA from 1 species
UACACUCCUACGGGAGGCAGCAGUGGGGAAUAUUGGACAAUGGGCGCAAGCCUGAUCCAGCCAUGCCGCGUGAGUGAUGAAGGCCCUAGGGUUGUAAAGCUCUUUCACCGGUGAAGAUAAUGACGGUAACCGGAGAAGAAGCCCCGACUAACUUCGUGCCAGCAGCCGCGGUAAUACGAAGGGGGCUAGCGUUGUUCGGAUUUACUGGGCGUAAAGCGCACGUAGGCGGACUAUUAAGUCAGGGGUGAAAUCCCGGGGCUCAACCCCGGAACUGCCUUUGAUACUGGUAGUCUUGAGUUCGAGAGAGGUGAGUGGAAUUCCGAGUGUAGAGGUGAAAUUCGUAGAUAUUCGGAGGAACACCAGUGGCGAAGGCGGCUCACUGGCUCGAUACUGACGCUGAGGUGCGAAAGCGUGGGGAGCAAACAGGAUUAGAUACCCGGGUAGUCCCA